AUGAACGCUGGCGGCGUGCCUAAUACAUGCAAGUCGAGCGGUAAGGCUUUCACAGUUUAUUUGACCGAGCUAGGUCUUUCGAGAAUUUUCCGGCUGGAAAAUUUGAGAAAAUCGUUUCACGAAAGAAGAACGAUGGUCUAGCGCUAAGCUCUAAUCUAUAACAGAUGCGGGCGAGGUCGAAUGAAGUGUGAAAGUACACGAGCGGCGGACGGCUGAGUAACGCGUAGGAACGUACCCCAAAGUGAGGGAUAAGCUCGGGAAACCGAGUCUAAUACCGCAUGUGAUCUUCGGAUUAAAGCCUUCGGGCGCUUUGGAGCGGCCUGCGUACGAUUAGGUUGUUGGUGAGGUAACGGCUCACCAAGCCGACGAUCGUUAGCUGGUCUGAGAGGAUGAUCAGCCAGACUGGGACUGAGACACGGCCCAGACUCCUACGGGAGGCAGCAGUAGGGAAUUUUCCACAAUGGGCGAAAGCCUGAUGGAGCAAUGCCGCGUGCAGGAGGAAGGCCUUCGGGUUGUAAACUGCUUUUAUCUGUGACGAUUUUGACGGUAGCAGAUGAAUAAGGAUCGGCUAACUCCGUGCCAGCAGCCGCGGUCAUACGGAGGAUCCAAGCGUUAUCCGGAAUUACUGGGCGUAAAGAGUUGCGUAGGUGGCAUAGCAAGUAAAUAGUGAAUCGUAUGGCUCAACCAUAUAUCUAUUAUUCGAACUGUGAGACUUCGAGUACAGGCAGAGGUAGACUGGAAUUUCUAGGUAGGAGUGAAAUCCGUAGAUAUCAGAAGGAACACCGAUGGCGUAGGCAGGUCUACUAGGCCAUUUACUGACACUAGAGGCACGAAAGCGUGGGGAGCGAACCGGGAUUAGAUACCCCGGUAGUCCACGCCGUAAACUAUGGAUACUAGCUGUUAGGAGGUAUCGACCCUUCUAGUAGCGAAGCUAACGCGUUAAGUAUCCCGCCUGUGGAGUACGGUCGCAAGACUAAACAUAAAGGAAUUGACGGGGACCCGCACAAGCGGUGGAGCAGUGUUGUUUAAUUCGAUGGAUAAGCGAAGAACCUUACCAGGGCUUGACAUCCAUGCAAGCCUUACGAAAGGAAAGUGUGCCUUUGGGACGCCAUGUGACAGGAUGAUGCAUGGCCGUCGUCAGCUCGUGUCGUGAGAUGUUUGGUUAAGUCCAUCAACGAGCGCAACCCUUAUGAGUCAGUUGAAUUUUUCUAGGCUAGACUGCCCCGGUAACGGGGAGGAAGGAGGGGAUGACGUCAGGUCAUUAUUUCUCUUACGUCCUGGGCUAGAAACGUGAUACAAUGGCAGGUACAAUGCGCAGCGAAGCCGCGAGGUGAAGCAAAUCGCAUCAAAGCUUGUCCCAGUUCGGAUAGGAGGCUGAAACUCGCCUCCUUGAAGUCGGAAUCGCUAGUAAUCGCAGGUCAGCAAACUGCGGUGAAUACGUUCCCGGGUCUCGUACACACCGCCCGUCAAACCAUGAAAGUGACCAACACCCGAAGUCCGAUUCGUCGGCCUAAGGUGGGGGGCAUGAUUGGGGUU
rnacentral:rRNA from 1 species